GAUGAACGCUGGCGGCGUGCCUAAUACAUGCAAGUCGAGCGAACAGACGAGGAGCUUGCUCCUCUGACGUUAGCGGCGGACGGGUGAGUAACACGUGGAUAACCUACCUAUAAGACUGGGAUAACUUCGGGAAACCGGAGCUAAUACCGGAUAAUAUAUUGAACCGCAUGGUUCAAUAGUGAAAGACGGUUUUGCUGUCACUUAUAGAUGGAUCCGCGCCGCAUUAGCUAGUUGGUAAGGUAACGGCUUACCAAGGCAACGAUGCGUAGCCGACCUGAGAGGGGGGUGGGCCAGCCUGGGAGCUGGACCCGGCCCAGACCGCCUGGGGGAGGCGCCAGAGGGGAAUCUCCGGCAGUGGGGGAAAGCCUGACGGAACAGCCCGGCGGGAGUGAUAAGGGUCUCGGGAUCGUAAAACUGUUUUAUGGGGGAAAAACAAAUGUGUAAGUAACUGUGCCCUUCGUGACGGUACCUAAUAAAAAAGCCCCGGCUAACUACGUG
rnacentral:rRNA from 1 species